GACGAACGCUGGCGGCGUGCUUAACACAUGCAAGUCGAACGGAAAGGCCCAGCUUGCUGGGUGCUCGAGUGGCGAACGGGUGAGUAACACGUGGGUGAUCUGCCUCUAACUUCGGGAUAAGCUUGGGAAACUGGGUCUAAUACCGGAUAGGACAAUCGUUUAGUGUCGGUUGUGGAAAGUUUUUUCGGUUAGGGAUGAGCCCGCGGCCUAUCAGCUUGUUGGUGGGGUAAUGGCCUACCAAGGCGUCGACGGGUAGCCGGCCUGAGAGGGUGGACGGCCACAUUGGGACUAAGAGACGGCCCAGACGCCUACGGGAGGCAGCAGGGGGGAAUAUUGCACAAUGGGCGCAAGCCUGAUGCAGCGACGCCGCGUGGGGGAUGACGGCCUUCGGGUUGUAAACCUCUUUCGACAGGGACGAAGCUUUGGUGACGGUACCUGUAUAAGAAGCACCGGCUAACUACGUG
rnacentral:rRNA from 1 species